rnacentral:precursor_RNA from 12 species
UCUCUUCAACUAUUUUCUCCUAAGCCCAGUAGCGUGGAGAGGUUAGCUUCUUGUUUUUUGUUUCCAGUAGCUCGCCUCUCCACGAUGCUGAACUUUAGGGUUUCUGCCACUGGACUCG